UUCUGUAUAUAUCUACUAAGUCCAUCUGGUCUAAUGUGUCCUUUAAGGCGAGUGUUUCCUUAUUGAUCUUCUGUUUGGAUGAUUUAUCCGUUGGUGUAAGUGGAGUGUUAAAGCCCCCUACUAUUAUUGUGUUACUAUUUCGCCUCUUAUGUCUGUUAAUAAUUGCUUUAUAUGUUUAGAUGCUCCUAUGUUGGGUGUGUAGAUAUUUACAAGUGUUAUAUUUUCUUGUUGGAUUGUUCCCUUUAUCAUUAUGUAGUGCCUGUCUUUGUCUCUUAUUACAGUUUUUGAUUUAAAGUCUAUUUUGUCUGAUAUAAGUAUUGCUACCUCUGCUUUCUUUUCUUUGCCAUUUGUAUGGAAUAUUUUUUUCCAUCCUUUCACUUUCAGUUUGUGAGUGUCUGUAGGUCUGAAGUGUGUCUCUUGUAUGCUGCAUAUACAUGGGUCUUGUUUGUUUAUCCAGUUGCCACCCUAUGGCAUUUGAUUGGAGCAUUUAGUCCAUUGACAUUUAAAGUAGCUAUUGAUAAAUAUGUAUUUAUUGCCAUCCUGUCACUUUUUUUUUCUGGGUGUUUUAGUAGUUCUUCUCUGUUCCUGUCUUUUUCUCUUGCUCUCUUCCCUUGUGGUUUGAUGGCUAUCUUUAGUAAUAUGUUUGAUUGCUUUUGCCUUACUUUUUUUCAUGCUUGCUUUAGGUUUCUGAUUUGUGGUUACCAUGAGGAUCCUAUUUAAUAUACUAUGCAUAUAACAGUCUAUAUUGAGUAGAUAGUCUCUUUAGCUUGACCUCUUUCUAAAGGCUCUACUUUUUCACUCCCCUCCUCCCACAUUAUAUGUUCUUCACAUCAUAUAUAGUCUCUUCUUUAGUGUGUGUCUAUCCAUUACUCUCUUAUCAUUGAAAUAGGUGAUUUUAGUACAUUUGUCUUUUAACCUUCAUAUUAUCUUCACAGGUAGUUGAUCUGCUGCCUUUACUAUAUUUUUACCUUACAAGUGAUUUUAUUGCAUUUUUUUUAUUGUUGUUGUUUUGGGGUUUUUUGAUAAUUUUUUUUAUCUCUAUUUGUGGUCGUUGCUUUCCCACUUAAAUAAGUCCCUUCAGCAUUUAUUGUAAGGCUGGUUUCUUAGUGAUAAACUCCUUUAAUUUUGGCUUGUCUGAUAAGGUGUUUAUCUCUCCUUCCAUCCUAAAUGACAACCUUGAUAGAUAGAGUAUUCUUGGCUUUUUUCUUUUUAGCACUUUAGAUAUGUUGUGCCAUUCUCUUCUCGCCUGUAGGGUCUCGACUGAGAAGUCCGCUGAUAGCCUGAUGGGCUUCCCUUUAUAUGUCACUUGUGGCCCUUCUCUUGCUGCUUUUAGGAUUCUCUCUUUGUCUUUAAUUUUGGACAUUUUGAUUAUAAUAUGUCUUGGUGUGGGCCUCUUUGGGCUUCUCUUGUUUGGAGCUCUCUGUGCUUCCUGAACUUGGAUGUCUGUUUCCUUCCUCAGGUUAGGAAAAUUUUCCUCUAUUAUUUCAACAAAUAAAUUUUCUGCCCCUUUGUCUCUCUCUUCUCCUUCUGGGACCCCUAUAAUCCAAAUGUUAGCACGCUUGAUAUUGUCCCAGAGUUCUCUUACACUGUUCUCAUUCUGUCUAAUUUUCAUUUCUUUUCUGUUCUGCUUGGGUGAUUUCCUCUAGUCUUUCAUCUAGCUCGCUGAUCCAUUCUUCUGCUUCCAAUACUCUGCUAUUGAGUCCCUCUAGUGAAUUUCUCAUUUUGAGUAUUGUAUUCUUCAUUUCUGAUUGGUUUUUUUAAUUUUUUUUCCCAUGGUUGGUUUUUUUUGUUUUGUUUUUUAAAGAUUUUAUUUUUUCCUUUUUCUCCCCAAAGCCCCCAGUACAUAGUUGUAUAGUCUUCGUUGUGGGUCCUUCUAGUUGUGGCAUGUGGGACGCUGCCUCAGCGUGGUUUGAUGAGCAGUGCCAUGUCCACGCCCAGGAUUCAAACUGACGAAACACUGGGCUGCCAGCAGCAGAGCGCACAAACUUAACCACUCAGCCAUGGGGCCAGGCCCCAUGAUUGUUUUUUUUUUAUAUCUUCCAGUUCUUUUCUGAUGUGCUCACUGUGUUCAUCCAUUCUUCUCUGCAUAUCUGUAAGCAUCCUCAGGAUAUUUUGUUUGAACUUUUUGUCAAGUAGGUCGCUAGUUUCUGUUUCACUCAGUCCUUUUUCUGGGGUUUUGUACUGUUCCCUUGCUUGGAAAGUAUUCCUUUGCCUCCUCAUUAUGCCUCUUUCUCUGUGCUAUUUUCUUUGUAGUAGGUGAGUCGACUAAGUCUCCUGAUCUUGGAGAAGUGGCCUUAUGUAUGAGAUGCCUUAUGAGGCCCAGCAGUGUGCUUCCCUCUCAUCACCAGUCCAUAAGAACCAGGAGUGACCCCUUUGUGGGCUACUUGUGUCCUUCUGCUGUGGCAGGGUUGCUCCCACUGCAGGCGUGGCAGACCCCUGGGCCAACAGCCCAAGGGACAAACCUCAAUGGCCCCCACCGGGCCAUAUCAGCACGCCUGGACCAGGUCAGAACAAUGGCCCCCACCAAUGUGCCAGUCUCCGGAGAGGUCCCUCCUCUCACCAAGAUGCCCCCAGAGCCCACCAGGUUAAAGAGAAGGUGGUUUCCAUCCUGCACACUUUUACUCUGUGAUCAUUCUGAUUGACACCAGCUGCUAUGGUAUGAUUGGAUCUAUGAAGAGACCCAGGGAGACAGGAACAGAGGGAGGCCUCCAAACAACAGCCAGUGAGAAACUGAGACCCUCUGUCCAACAGUCCAUGAGGAACUGAAUCCUGUCAGCAACCACGUGAGUAACAGUGACUUUGGAAACGGAUUCUACCUCAGGUGAGCUUUCAGAUGAGACUUCAGCCCAGCCAAAAACCCAAUGGAAAACUUGUGAGAGAUCUUGAGGCAGAGGCAUCUAGCUAAACCACACCCAGAUUCCUGACCCAUAAGAAUUGAGAUUGAGAGGAACUGUACUCAAGGAGCUGUACUUAUGGAAGUAUUCCUAAGAGGCCUCAGCAAAACCUGGAUCUGACUUAAAUAAUGAGGUUCUAGACAUUGAACUGAUACUGUAAUGUCUUACUCUUGGGUAGGGCAUCCCUAGGGAGAGGCCCAUAAAGGAAAGAACUUAAGGAAGCCUCACACUAACAACCAGCAAGGAACUGAGACCCUCUGUGCAACGUCCCUUGAAGAAGUGAAUCCUACCAACAACCAUGCCAAAGAGUGCCCCUUCUGGCUGCGUACCCACUUAUAUAACCCCUACACAGAAGUCAAUGGGUGUUCCAGGCAGCAGCAAAACAGAUGUGGCUGCUGGGGUGGGGUGGAAGACGAUGACCAGCAUACAGAUUGCUGUGCUUAUGUUCUGCGUCGACAUCUGAUAUGGCUAUUCUUGUCUGUGUUUACAUGUCCCAUUCAUCUGGUUCAACCAGACAGAGUUUUACUAAUAUUAUUGAUGGUUGCCAUAACAACAAGCAUGUGAAUAUACUUUAGCUAAGAAAUUGUGACAAGUAUUUGGUUGAUCACAGUCCGUAAAUUGCAUAGAGGGAUGAUCUCCAGGGGUGAAGGGGGAUGGAAUAGGACAUCACCAGAUGGACACUUGCUUUGAUCUCAUUGAGGAAAUUUACAUAGUGAUUUCUCCUGAAAAAGUUCCUUUCCAGGGGCUUCCUCUGGAAAUUUGGAGCUGUUUGAUCCUUGGAGAAUAGCCAGUAACUCAACCAAAGACUCUUCUUAGACCAUAAAUAGCAUUCUGAGUUUGCAUCCUCCAUUUCCAUCACUCUCCCUCUCCUGAUCUUCUCAGUCUCUUCAGUAUUCAAGAAACUAAUGGAACAAAGUCAAAUACUAGAAAUUGGGUAAUCUUCCUUUGCUUCUUUUAGCUCUGGCUUCUUAGGUGACAUUCCUUUUGAUCACAGAUACUUCCUAAAAAUAUACUGGAUAUUGUGGAGUUGGGGGAGAAAAAGGGGCAAGAUGGUGGAUAUCAAAGACCUGGAAAACAACCUCUGCCAUUGAUGAAUUUGUGGUCAUGCUUGAGAGGCAGGGUGACUGAAGGGGUUCCUGAGGUGUGGGGCUUUUCGCUUUAUAACCAGGAAAGUCCAAGGCAAACCAGGAUGAGUUAGAGACUCUAUGAAGUGAGUCUGAGAAAUUCACUUCACCUACGUAGACCUCAUUUCUCCCAACUCUAAAAAUGAAUUAAAAAUUUUAUUUCCUUUGCCUUAUUCUCAGUAAACCAUAUACAAAAGAAGAAAACAAUACAUGAAAUCCUUUAAAAAAAAAAAAAGAGUACAGAGAUGCCAGCCAUAUCUG
rnacentral:lncRNA from 1 species